AAUAAUAAUAUUUCAGAGUGAUUAACUUAAAACAAUAAACUAGAUUCUAUUAAAAUUAUUUAUUACUGGUGACAAAUAUAAAGGUGAUAGAAAAAUAGGUUUUGUAUAUCACCUGAGUAAAAUUUGUUUGUAGGAAAAAUAAUCUGCCAAGAAUCUUUUCGUAAAUAAUUUCUUGUGGCUUCACCCAUUGUCGAAAUUGAUUGUUUACGGAACACAGCAGUUACCUACAAGUUUAUUUCAGGCAUCAACCAAAGCUAGAAUAAUAUACCUAAUUCAUCCAAUUGAUGUAAAUAUAUUAAGUUUAUGAUCAAUCAAUCAACCCAAAUGUAUAUAGAAUUAAAAUUAAAACAGAUUUCUUAAAACAGGACAGUAAUUCAGCUUUUUCCCUACUCUAAAUGAAUAUCCCAGAUAAAGUACAUACUAUAAUUUGUUAUGUUUCCGCGAUGAUAGAGAAGUUUAUACCAGUGAUAUAACCUACUAGAGCGACUUGCUAUCCUGACCAUGAAAUAUGGGACAAUUCUACCUAACAUAAUCAGAAACAUUUAGUUUUCGCAAAUAGCCUUUGAGUGGUGUAAUCCCAGCUUUAUGCCGCGGUUCAUGGAAGCCGGGGUCCGCUUGACAACUAAUCCCAAGAAUUGGCGUGCCUACGCUAGUUUUUACGUCCCAACCCAGAGAGGAAAUCAGGUCUUAUUGGGAUUAGUCCGGUAUCCUCAUUAUGUUUUCCUUCACUGAAAAGCGACUGGUAAAUAUCAAAUUAUAUAAUCUUACAUAAGAUCCCAAAAACUCAUUGGUAUAAGCCAGGGUUGGAACCCGCGACCUCCGGAUUAAAAGUCCUACUUCGCUAGGCUACCAAGGCUACUUACUCAAUCUCACUAUCCCAUUGUUUUAUACAGGAUGGCCCAACAAUACGUUGACAAAACAUUUUCCUGCUGAAUAUUGUUGCUUUGAAAAAAUGUGUCUCUGAAGGAUACAUUGAAAAUAAUUCAAAUUUUCUUUUAAUAUCUGUUAUUUUAUUUUUAAUGCUGUUUAAAAGAAAACAUAUAAGCAAGAAAAAAAUCCUUAAAAUUAUUUACACCAUAUUUUUGGGCCACUCUCAAUUAUCAAGUAAAAAAAGUCUACGCGGAUUUGAAGAACAUACAAUAUAUUUUGAGGUACAACUGGUACAAGUCAGUUAAUUUAUUUUUACAAAAAUUUAUUUUUGUCCUCUUUGAAACGGCUACAAAACGGACAUAGUUCCGAUAUCACUGAUAAACGACAGAAAAUACCUAUACGUUAACUGCGUAUGAAGGAAAAGUAAUUAAAAACAAGACAUCAAACAAACUUCAUUAAGCUUUAUCACCGCGAUAAUGAUUAAAGAUCACGGGUAGUUAUGCCUAAUCAUCUGUGCAGUGUGGCAUUCGAUAUAAACAAAUGUUGGCCAUUUUGUUGGCCACAUCGUCCACGAUGCUGCUUCAGAAUUGGUUCCUGUUGUUCCUGUUAGUCGCAGCGCUCGAGGCGAGCUGCGCACUGUCCCAUGUGCGCGUGAGGCCCGUUGUCGUGACAAGGCGCCUACUCAGGAAACGCCCGAUCAUCAUACGAUUAACCAACUCCGUGUAAACUUGCGACCCUUCGAGCUAGUUCAUUAUUUAAACUGAAUGUGACAUGAUAAUUAUAUCUUAAAUGAUCUCUU